rfam:Ktedonobacter racemifer DSM 44963 strain SOSP1-21 Krac_Contig204, whole genome shotgun sequence.
GUCAACGACCCCACGCGUAGAACGCGGGGGCUUGCUCCCGUGGUUGACGUUGGUCCCGUUGUCCAGCCUGAGAUGCUGAUCCCGCAGGCCGGGAGAAGAAGCAUCUACGUUCGGAAGAUCAUGGCACUCAGGGAUGCCACCUCAGUCCCUGGCUCUGCCGUUGGUGGUUAAAAGCCCGUCGGGGUGUCGGGCGGUGCGCCAACAGACAAGUCUUCUGCAACUGUGGCGAGAGGGGUCAUCU